GGGGAUGUAGCUCAGUGGAGGAGCGCUUGCCUAGUAUGCACAGAGCCCUGGGUUCAAUUUGCAGUACCCCAA
rnacentral:tRNA from 1 species